GACAGGAGUCAUGGAACCCCAGGAUAGGACAGGACAGAACAGGACAGGGCCCCCAGCCCCAUCUUUAUCUCACCGGCUGCUGCUGGCUGCCAAGCCUCCCCUGAAUGGGGGAGGGUGGUCUGUGCGAGUCAGCGGAGGCAGGAAGUGGAGGAAGACGGGAGGCUCUGCAGGGCCAGUUGAACGUGGCCUCUGAAAUGCGCUGCUGGGUUAGGGUCUCCCCGACCGAG
rnacentral:lncRNA from 1 species